rnacentral:rRNA from 1 species
GACGAACGCUGGCGGCAUGCCUAACACAUGCAAGUCUAGGGGUAGCAAUACCACUGGCGCACGGGUGAGUAACACGUAGGUUAUCUGCCCCCAUCACAGACAUAACCCCGGGAAACCGGGGCUAAUAUCUGAUGAGGUCGCGAGAUCAAAGCUUCGGCGGAUGGGGAUGAGCCUGCGGCUGAUUAGCUAGUUGGUGAGGUAAUGGCUCACCAAGGCGACGAUCAGUAGCUGGUCUGAGAGGACGAACAGCCACACUGGAACUGAGACACGGUCCAGACUCCUACGGGAGGCAGCAGUGAGGAAUAUUGGUCAAUGGGAGCAAUCCUGAACCAGCAAUGCCGCGUGUGGGAUGACAGGGCUUCGCCUUGUAAACCACUGUCGGACGGGACGAAAGGAGGCCUCGGGCCUCUGGGACGGUACCGUCAAAGGAAGGGUCGGCUAACUACGUGCCAGCAGCCGCGGUAAU